CCUUGCCGUCCCGCCCCUUCCACUCUGUCGCAUGGCACCACGGGAAUUGUAGUUUUCUUCCGGGGAGCCAACCUGAGCUCCAAUCUGACCCAGCGCUUCGCGGUUUAGGGGAACUACUUAUCCCAGCAUUCAUGGCGCGGAGGCGGGUCGGGCCUUUUUUUUUCUUUGGUGAAACACGAGGAAAACAGGGGCGUGUGGUUGGGUUUGCGAGGUUUUCUGGCUUCUGGUCUCUCCCGGGAAGUUGGGCUGUGUUUAGCUACUGAAUUUUGCAGAGCUGGCAUUCUAUACGAAGAGGUUACUCAACUCCUGAGGCGAAGCACAAAACGCGGGGGGGCGGGAGUAGGAGGGAAGGGGAGGGAGCUUGUGGGAAAACAGUUUCGGGCUGUUUUCCUAUCUGUGGAAAAAGUUUUUGGUAUGACUACGUUUUUGUGGGAAACCCAGACCGAGGAGAAGCCCUGGCGUUUUUCGGGUCCUGGAGAUCCCGCAGCUAACACCACGGGAUCUGAUAGCAGUUCCGCUGACUGACGCCCCAGACUGUCUGUGAGGGCGCCUGCCGGGGGGAAACGCGCGUCCCGACCUCGGCGCCGGGAUGGGGCCGAUGUCGGGCUGGAGGCCGCCUCCAGAUCCUCGCAUUGUCCCUGCGAGGAACGCGCUGGCUUGCGGGGCGCACACUGCCGCUUCUUGAGGUGGAGCUGCUGACAAAUGGACUUAACGGGGCUGCUUUUCGCUUCCACCCCCUGCCUCUCCGCUUUCUCCUCGAGGGAACUGGGAGCCGGUCUAAUAGCAUUUAAAAGGGACGUGUAGCCCCUCCGAGUCUCGGUCAGCCUGGGGCUCCCGGAGCCCGAAGGCGCGCGCCCGACCGAGAGCGCAGGGAAAGCGCAGCUCCGGGAUCGUCGUCGGCGCGCGCGUGUCUGUGUACGUGUCUGUGUGCGCGCGCGUGUGCAUGUGUACGUGUGCGUGCGUGCGUGUGGAGGGCGGGGUGGAAGGUUGGGAGAGGCUAGUACGAAAGCUGCGCUUUUGCUAAUUGCAGCGCGUCAUUAUUUAUCAGUACGUAUAUCUUGUUUAACUAUCCCAUUGUUUAAACAAAGAUAGAAAGCAGUAGGGUUUUUUUAAAGUUCUUUUAUAUUUACUGAGUAAACUUAUUGAUAGAUGAAUUUUUAAAAAUGUAAACUGUCAUCUGCCCUGAAAUUCAGUGCCAUUCAGUCCAUCUGUGCACUUAUGUUUUAGGAUAUAGCAAAGGAAGAAAAAAAAAAUGUAGUGGGCAAAAGAAAGAUGCUGAAUGGUGAGUAUUUGUGUUAUCUUUUCAAGCUGCACUGCCCAACAGUGUGUCUGCUAGCCUUAUGUGGAUAUUAGCACUCGAAAUGUGGUUAUUGUGACUGAAAAACUGAACUGUUAAUUUUAAUUCAUUUAAAAUUUUAAAACUGAUUUCAGUUAUUGGAAAACUUUUAAAUAUGUUUGGAACAACUUGGUUAGGAAUCUAUUUUUUCAACUUAAAUUUUAUGAAAUCUAAAUUUAGCAUCUGAACUGUGAUGUGCCGGUAUGUAUAAACUACCAGCAGGAUUUCAAAGACUUAGUACCAGACUUUUUUUAAAGAAUAUUGAUUAGCUUAGUAACAUUUUUUAUAUUGAUUACAUGUUCAAAUGAUUAUAUUUUGGCUAUACUGGGUUAAAUAAAACAUUAAAAUUUACCUGUUCCCAUUUUUCAAAAUGUGCCUACUAUAACAUUUAAAACUACACAUGUGGCUCACAUUAUAUGUGUAUUUAGAUAUUGUUGGCUUGAAGUAUUAAAACGCAGAAUAAUACUGUUUAUAGAUGUAUUUUCUUAAAUAGUAAAAAUGAGACUAUAUCGAUAGAAUGGACACACACCAGCUUCAAGGUGGUGGUCAUCUCUUAGGAGAGAGGCCAAUGGAUGGUAUCUGGGAAUGGCUAAAAGGUGGUUUCCAUUUGUAAGUUUUUAUUUGUUAAAAACAGUCUAAAGCAAACAUGAUAUUGGGAUGUUGGAUUUUCAUAUUUUUUGUAAUUUUAUAUAAUUUAAAAUAAUUUAUAAUAUUGUUUGGUUCUUGCCCUUAAAAGUUUAUAGUCUACCUUCUGCAAAUGUGAUCAAAUCAGUUCAUGUAUGGUAUAGUUAUAUAUCAAUUUCAUAUGAAUUUUACUGAAGUGACGAAUUGUGACUAUGCUUCCUUUACAGACAAUACAGUAAUUUUAGAAGUUUCAGUCACUCAUUUAUUGCAUGCUAGGAUCUUUUCUAGGCUCUGGGGAUACAAAAAUAAUUGGGAGAGGGUCCUAGCCAUUUUGGAGCUCACAGGUAGCUUAACAAGCACAUGAUACAUGCUAUAGACUGAAUGUUUGUGUCCCCACAAAAUUCAUAUGUUGAAACCUAAUCCUCGUGUGAUAAUAUUUGAAGGUAGGGUCUUUGGGAGGUGAUUAGGCCAUGAGGGUGGAGCCCUCAGGAAUGGGAUUAGUGCCCUCAGAAAAGAGGCUCUAGAGAGCAACCUCACUCCUCCUGCCAUCCAUGGGAGAAGACGCCCAUCUAUCAACCAGAAAGUGGACACUCACCAGCCAUGAACCGGUCAGCACCUUGAUCUUGAACUUCCCACCCUCCAGAACUAUCAAGAAAUAGAACAUUGUCAACAGGGCCAGCUUUCUGGGCAUGCAAACAGCGCAGAGGCACAGGGCAGAGGCUCAGAAGCCCACCCCUUCCGACCCCUUACUCUCUCCACUCUGCUUGUGGUUCAGUGCUCAUCAUCAUCAUGAAAUUCUUAACCAUUCAUCUUUGAAUUUCUGGGUUCUGGCGGAUCUCUCCUUGCCCAUCUCUGCACUGGCCUGAGCACUCCGAGCUGACGCAGGAUGUGACCGCUGUGGUGCGCAGCCCCUCCCUCUCCCCGCCCCUCGCUGAGUUGGGGGUCAGGCCGCGGCUGCCUGUGAGGGUCUGCCUUUGACCAAAAAGAAUCGCUAUACCCAAGGGAGAGCGACGUUAAAUAGCAAAUUAGAAAACACCAUGACAUGUCGAGAGAGAGAGAGACGACGGAAGAAAGAAAGAAGAUUUUUGCAUUGGGUCCCACCAGUUGUGCCGCUGGCCUUGAUUGACAGCCCUGAGGGACCGCAUGUGCUCCUCCUCCAUCUAACCCCUCACCGGCCAGCAGCAGCUAUCCUGAUUUCUGGUAUUCACUACCUGCCUUUUCUUUAUAAUUUUACCGCACAAUUAUGAACUCUAAAAAGACAUUUUAGUUUUUUGUGUGUUUUUGAACUUUUUUAAAGUGGAAUCGUGUACUUUGUUAUUGUUUUCUCUGGCUUCUUCACUGUCUUGAAGAUCUGCUUGUACCUCACUUAACUAGCUCUUUUCAUUGUGGAUGAAUAAAAUACACUUUAUUUAACCAUUUUAUUGUUGAUGGACAUAGGGGUUGUUUCCAGUUUAGGGAUAUUAAAAGCAACCUUGCCAUGAUCAUUCGUGUACAUGUGCCCUGAUACCUCUGUGCUUACAGUUUAAUAGGACAGGUAUUUAGGAACAGAAUUGCUGAGUCAUAGAGUAUGCAUAGCUGCAACUUUACUGGGUACUUCCAAACUUUGACACUUCCACAAGCCUUUUUUUUUUUUUUUUUAAACGAUCCAAUGGAUUUGUCUGUUAUCUCGCGAUUUUACACUGAGUGUUCCUGAUUACUAAUGAGGUUAUAUGUUAAUUGGUCUUUGGGCUUUCCUCUUUGGAAGCUUCUGUUUAGGACUUCAGCUGUUCUUCUAUUGGGUUUGUGACUUUUUCUAUUGAUUUGUAGUUCUUUAUAUAUUCUGAAUAAGAGCCGUUUCUCGAAGUUAUGUAUUGCAAAUACCUUUCCUACUCUAUCACUUGCCUUUUGACUGUGGUGGCGACUUUAGGUUAAAGUCUUUUAAUUUUUUAAAAAAUAUUUAUUUAUUUAAUUUGGUGGCACCAGGUCUUAGUUGUGGCACUCGGGCUCCUUAGUUGUGGCAUGCGAACUCUUAGUUGCAGCAUGCAUGUGGGAUCUAGUUCCCUGACCAGGGAUCGAACCCCGGCCCGCUGCAU